UACGGGGGGGGCAAGCGUUGUUCGGAAUUACUGGGCGUAAAGGGCUCGUAGGCGGCCAACUAAGUCAGACGUGAAAUCCCUCGGCUUAACCGGGGAACUGCGUCUGAUACUGGAUGGCUUGAGUUUGGGAGAGGGAUGCGGAAUUCCAGGUGUAGCGGUGAAAUGCGUAGAUAUCUGGAGGAACACCGGUGGCGAAGGCGGCAUCCUGGACCGACACUGACGCUGAUGCGCGAAAGCCAGGGGAGCAAACGGG
rnacentral:rRNA from 1 species